rnacentral:lncRNA from 1 species
CAGCGGAAAAAGGCCACAAAAACGGGUGGGCUAUAGCCUUGGGGGGUGGGGCUGGCCGACUUCGUCCGCCGGACUCGGAAUGCCGCGAGACUUUGCGAGGGGCCUCCGUGUGCAGAAAAUAGGCCGCGGACGAAGCUGCGCCCCAAAAUAACUGCCCGAAGGCCGGGGCGCCAAGUUCGUCCAGCGGAAAAAGGCCACAAAAACGGGUGGGCUAUAGCCUUGGGGGGUGGGGCUGGCCAACUUCGUCCGCCGGACUCGGAAUGCCGCGAGACUUUGCGAGGGGCCUCCGUGUGCAGAAAAUAGGCUGCGGACGAAGCUGCGCCCCAAAGUAACUGCCCGAAGGCCGGGGCGCCAAGUUCGUCCAGCGGAAAAAGGCCACAAAAAAGGGUGGGCUAUAGCCUUGGGGGGUGGGGCUGGCCAACGUCGUCCGCCGGACUCGGAAUGGCGCGAGACUUUGCGAGGCGCCUCCGUGUGCCAAAAAUAGGCCGCGGGCACAGCCGCGCCCAAAAAUAACC